GAUGUUGGUUACAAAGGAGAAGGCUUCUGUUUACACAAUACCUUGGUAAUCAGCAAUGAUGGGAAAGGGAAUAUAGAAAAAGGGAGCCUGGUAGUUUAACGAGCAUUGAUAAAACUCAACGUUUUUAAAGAAAAAAUUCACCAUCAAGUGUAUCGACUAAUACUCCAAAUGCUACACUUUUAAAAGCGUUAUUCUACUGUAGAUGGAAUUAUAGAUAGCAGAUUCAGGCAAUAUGCAGUUGCAAGCUGCGCAUCAGAGCCCUGCAACUAAUCAGUGCCACAAAAUAACAGGAAAAGCAAGACUGAAUAACAUAAGAUUCUUUCAGGUGGAGGAGCGGCUGCCUGGGGAGCAGAUGCCACCGCUGGUCCAGGAAUUGCCCGUGUGCGGCGGGUGGUGCCACCAUUUUUCCCUUCCUGAAGUCAAGUUUAGCCGCCCCCCCCGCUCCCCGCCCCCCCAGCAUGUCUAGCUUUCAUAAGCGGUACUGGAGGUAUGCGGAGCUGAGUCUGUUCACCCAGGUCUCCCAGCUGGUGAUGAGCUGAGCUGUUUCGCAGGACCAGUGCUCUAAGGAUCAAGCUUAAUUUGCCUAAGCUGUUUAUUUGCAAUAGCUUCAGACACAGCAAGGUAGCAACAGAGCGCUAGCGUGAAGAUUAGACAAUUUUUAUAUUUUUUUAAAAAUAAAAAUAGAGGAUGGGAAACAAGAGAAGGGUGUAAAAUGGCUUAAAUGCUUAACACAUCAAAUUGUAAUACAGAAAAAGCAUGUAUGUGACUUCGGCUAAUUUCACAAAUAAAAGCAGUGGAAAGAAAACAUUCCAGCUGGAAGCACAUUCACAUGAAUCACACAUAUUUCAUGUUCCCAGGUAACCAUGCCACCCCUUUGAC